rnacentral:tRNA from 1 species
AUCUGAAUAGUUUACUUAAAAUACUGAUUUGUGGUGUCGGUGAUGAAGGUUUCAACUGCUUUCUUUGGAUU